CGUAAUACGCGCUCCGUUCCAUAGGGCCGUGCCAUGGGGCCCCCUCUCCUUUUACUUCGAAGCCGCUACGAGUUGGUCCAACCGCGGGGCGUGGGCGAGCGCGCUCUGAGCCGUCCGGCACAUAUGCUGUCUAUAUGUCAAAAGCGACUUGUAGUUGCUUAACGUGUGUGAUGAAGGCCGCACUUGAGUCUUGGAGUCCGGCGGAGGAAUCCUGACGGGACGAGGCGUGGGGGUUCGUGUCAUGUGCUAGCAGCCCAAAGCACAGUGAAAUAGACAGCAAUGAUACAUGUUAUUCAGAGCUGGGCACGGGCGCAGGGGCUCAGGUUUGGCCUGGGCAUCGGUGGCCUUCAUUCUGCGACCUGCAGCGAGUCUUUCCGACCCUGACCCCUUACAACUCCUCAGUCUAGGUUGGACUCCCUAGCAGAGACUGAGAAAAAUGUCCGCAGACUUUUACAGCAAGGAGAGCGACUAUGGGUAGGCACAAGCUGAUUGCGCGCUGAAUUCGGGCACCUCGUUGACCCGCUCUUUUCCUCAUGACCGCGCAGCUACAUCCGCAAGGUCUCCGGACCUGUGGUGGUCGCCGACCACAUGGCCGGUGCUGCCAUGUAUGAGCUGGUUCGCGUGGGCACGGACAAUCUGAUUGGUGAAAUCAUUCGUCUGGAGGGCGACAGCGCCACGAUCCAGGUACCUGCAGCAGCAGAAAAGAUUACCACCUGGCAGGAAAACGGGUUGGAGCGGCCGUUCUGACGCACAGGGGGUCUGCGGUGCAGGUGUAUG
rnacentral:lncRNA from 1 species